rnacentral:rRNA from 1 species
AUUGAACGCUGGCGGCAGGCCUAACACAUGCAAGUCGAACGAGUGGCGGACGGGUGAGUAAUGUCUGGGAAACUGCCCGAUGGAGGGGGAUAACUACUGGAAACGGUAGCUAAUACCGCAUACCAUCGGGCGCGCCCAGAUGGGAUUUGCUAGUAGGUGGGGUAACGGCUCACCUAGGGGACGAUCCCUAGCUGGUCUGAGAGGAUGACGAGCAACACUGGAACUGAGACACGGUCCAGACUCGUACGGGAGGCAACAGUGGGGAAUAUUGCACAAUGGGCGAAAGCCUGAUGAAGCAAUGCCGGGUGUAUGAAGAAGGCCUUCGGGUUGUAAAGUACUUUCAGCGAGGAGGCGUUACUCGCAGAAGAAGCACCGGCUAACUCCGUGCCAGCAGCCGCGGUAAUAC